CAAUAGCGUAUAUUAAAGCUGUUGCGGUUAAAAAGCUCGUAGUUGGAUUUCUGUCAAGGACAACUGGUCCGCCCUUCGGGUGAGCACAUAGUUUGGUCUUGGCGUCUUGCUGGAAACUGUUGCUGCACUUGGUUGUGUGGCGCAGCGUCCAGCACUUUCACUUUGAGGAAAUUGGAGUGUUUCAAGCAGGCACAUGCCUUUGGACACAGUAGCAUGGAAUAAUUAGAUUGGGCUUUUGCUCCAACUUGUCGGUUUCUGGAGCUGAGGUGAGAAUUAAUGGGGAUUGUUGGGGGCAUCCGAAUUUAGCCGUCAGAGGUGAAAUUCUUGGAUCUGCUAAAGACGGACAACUGCGAAAGCGUUUGCCCAGGAUGUUUUCAUUGA
rnacentral:rRNA from 1 species